ACCGGGAUAGCUCAGUUGGUAGAGCAGAGGACUGAAAAUCCUCAUGUCACCAGUUCAAAUUUGGUUCCUGGCA
rfam:Nicotiana sylvestris Nsyl_contig132967, whole genome shotgun sequence.